UGAGUGUUCUGAGGGGAGGAGUCUAGAGCCUACGCCUGAGCGGCGCUGUCCCCCGACUUUGUGGGAGCGCGCCUGAUGUAGGUGGGGUCCGGCAGAGUGUCCCAUUCACUAACUCUGCAGUUCUAAAGAGAGGCAUUUUUAGACGGGUGAUUUGGAGUCGGCUUUUUUUCUUAUGAGGAAAUGGUGUCGGGAUAAGUUGGCAUUGUGGUUUAAAUUUUCGUCGAUUUAAUUUAUCCAAGCCCAGAUUCCCAAACCCUAGGGAGUAGGCGGGUCCACCUCCUCUAGCGUUAUGGGGCAUAACCUGUGCUAUUUAGUACAAGAUCUCUAAUUGAGAUCUCUAGAUAGGAUCCUGCCGGCCAGAGGGUGGGGUCCAGGAGAGAUAGUGGGGAGUGUGCCAGUUCAAUGGAGUAAUGAUGGAUUUGUUGCUGGAGCUGAGCCACUGUAGGGCCUCCGGUUACUUUCUCUUUACAGAUACCUAUUGUUGCCCACACUUAACGGGAGAGAAAUUCUUACAUACUGGUCAAGAUGUGCAUCAGUCAAAUGGUGCUGAGCAUAAUUCAAAGAUGAAGACAAUUUACUUCCUGUUUCCCAGGAGCUCACAAUCUAGCGAUGGAGGAAAAUACAGUCUCCUAAGUUGGUGUUUUUUCCAUUAUUUCAUACCACCUCUCUUGGACCUUUUAAGGACCACGUGGAGUAUGCAAUGGAUGUUUUUUCCAAGAAAGGGUUACUAGCAGACAAGAACAAUGUGCUAACCACCAGUCGUUAAGGGGCCUGACAAAGAGAAUGGUAAUGAUAAUUUCUAAAGCAACUGUGAAAUGAUGCACUGAUGUGGAGCUUCUAGAAGCAAAGUAUAAUGUUAGAGGUUCACUUCUAAAUAAUAUGGACUAAGAAAAAUUUUGUUUUUCAAAACAGCCAUUCAGUUUGUGGUAAUUUGUUAUGAAACAGUAGAAAACUACUCCAGGAUAAAUAUCCUUAUCUUCCCUCUGCCGGUUGAGAACCACGAAUCUAGGUAGGUCCUGGAAAAACAAGUGUAACACAUCAGCAGGUGCUGUUUGCUCUCUGAAGUCCUUGAAUGCACUUGGGAAUAAAUGUCACCCUGGAAAUGAACGUUAUGGUAUGAUGUAACAGAAGAAAAAACAGUGAGUUCAGAAAAAAGAAAAAGCUGUAACAUGAAUUUAAAAUGUGAAAGAAGUACCUUGCUUCACAUACACUCACACACACAGUACACCUAAAAUUCAAC